CUUCCCAGCCCUCUUGUUAUUUAAGAGAUGGGCCUCUUUGCCUCCCAGGCCCCAGCCUAGAACUGGAGGUGGAAUCCUGAUGGAGUAUCCGUGGCUCUUCUGUCCCCAGGAAAAGGCAAACACUCUCCCGUGGCUCCACCGUGGGAACGUUCAGAAAACAAAAUGCCUGAAGCCCGCAUUCACCCCUGGAGUGGGAGUGGAAGGGGGGAGAGAAUGUGCUGAUGAAGCUCAUUAAAAAGAAAACAAAGCCAGAGCCACCCACCAUCCAGAAGAAUCCAGGGGCUGGUCCUGGGCAAACUAGACAUCUGUGCGGGCAGUCAGAAACCACGAGGUCAUCGGCAUCUCCUGGACACAGCUUGGUGCACCUGUGCCCCGGGGCUGCCCCUGCCCCCCAGCUGAGCCUGCGGGAGGGCGGGAAAGUGCCCCAGCCCAGUGAGCACCUUGAACAUGGUGGUGACAUGGAGGUGGGUUUGACCUUUUCUUGUUUGUUCCCUGGUCACAUGGUUUUUUUUUUACAUAUUCAAGCCCAGGGUGUGUUUAUAAUUUGGACUCGUGCUAUUUGAAGUCCUAAUAUAUCAUAAAUAUAUCCUGUCAUUAAACUCUUUGCAAGA